GCCGCCCCCGACCUCCAGCCGACGCGCCGUCCCCCCACCUCCCGCUGACGCGCCGCACCCUCCACCUUCCGGUGACGAGCCGCUCUCCGACCUCCCACCGAAGCGCCGCCGCCUUGAUCCGCCCGGCGCAGGCGUCCCUCCUCUCUGCCACCUCUCCUGCAUCGACGCUGCCCGGCGUCUCACCCCGGGCCUCCACACACCAUUUUCCGCGGUCGUCGGUACCGCACAAGCUUCUGCGGCCGCCGCGCCUCCUGGAUCCAACGAGGUUGCGUCGCACUGGCCUCGGAUCCGCCCGCCUCCACGCCGUCACCUGCCGACCCCGGCCCCGGCCCCGGAUCCCCCUCCAACCAAAUUCCUGCCAUGGACGAGUUCUGGUUCUCUGGAUUGGUCUUGAUAAAGCUUUCAUACAGGAUACAACUUAAGCUGGAGUUCAUCGCUAAGCAGGUUUGAUUUUGUAAAGUUCAAGUUUUUUUGUGUGUGAUGCAGUAUAGCUCAACUACAUUUUGUUCCCUCUUUACUUUUAAAUUGCUGACUGGAUGUUGAACUAAUUCUCUGCCUUCUCCAUCACUUACGUGGUUCCCUAUUUGGUUGAUCUAUUGUACUCAUGUAUAUUUCAAGAUACUAGGAAACGUAGCUAUCAAUUAUCUUGUAUACAAAAGGUUUGGGACUGGAUCUUCUAAUGAAAGCUGGAGCAGAAGAAGAAGUCCAGGAGGGAGAGAUGGAGAUGUGAGCAUGUAUACAUAUGUUCUGGAGACACUAGACUUAUCUGGUGGUGUGUGCGUGCUGUUGUAUCCUCUUCCGGCCACUCUAAUCUACACCCUCAGUACAAGCCGAUGCAACGCCAAGCAGAUCGACAGGGGUGCGGGGUUCAGUUGGACGAUGACGAGCCAGGCAGCCGGCCUUUGCAUCAUGAACUGGCGCAGUUUGAUCUUAUCAUCUUACAUGUCAAGCACCAAACCGACACCGCGGCUUCUGCUGCUGGUGCUAGUGUGGAUGUUUAGCAAGUUCAACUACCAGUCUACGCCGAGUUCAGCAAUGUAGUUUGCUUCCUUUAAAAUUCAGUUAGUUCACCAAAGCCGCCCUGAGGGCGUACAGGACGGCGACGUGUUCGAGGACUGCGACUGGUGGCAGAUACAACUAAAUUCAGGGUGUUCUUAUGCUCUUUUCUUUUUAAGUGCGUUCAAUAAAGUCAUCUUGAAAAUGCUAAAAGAGAAUUGCAGUCUUCUCCCUCAACAAAAGUUUGGAUUCUAAAGGCCAUUGACAAAAAAAGCUCCGGACGCCUCCCUCCGAGAUCUGGCCGCCUUCCCCCUAAGGUCCCAUGGACGCACCGCCACCGCCCAACCCCUCCUUCCGCAAGGUAGCGCUCUGGGCAGCCCUCCUUGCCGCGGUGGCCCUGCUGGCCGUUGGCGGCAGAACCUGGGUGGCGGGUGCUGGCAUGCUUCUUCUCCGGCGAGGACGCCGUGCUACACCGGCGCCGCCACACAUCUUUUGUUCUCGCUAGUAUAUUUCCUGUAGCAGUUCUUCAGUGCACACAAAAAAGACUAGCAUUUCAAUUACUAUCAAUUACUAAAUUCUUCAGUUCAGUUCAAUUACUGAAAUUAUUUCAGUUCAAUUCUUUUAAUAAGUUUCAUUUCGAAUAUAUUAUUUCAGUUCAGUUCAGUUUAGUUUGAUGUAGUGCAAAAAUUCUGAAACUACUAGAUCCGUGUGAGUAUUUUGGGUUAGGGUAAUGCAUGUCUAACUAAUUUUUUUAUUGUUGUACUAAUGGCCGUUUGUGUGCAGUGCUAAUGGCAGUACAUUUUGGGUUAGGGUAAUGGAUGUCUGACCAAAGAAAUUAUUGUCGUACUAAUGUCAGUACUAAUGGCGGUUUGUGUGCAGUGCUAAUGGAAGUACGAUGGAUGAUAGACUACAUAAAUUAUUGUUGUGUGUGUGAUGGAUGAUACCACUUGCUUUUCAUAACAUAAAAGAUAUACAUUCAAUUUUAGGAUUGACGAGGCCAUGUCUGCCUCGGCUUUCUGGGAUCUUGAACAAUGGAAUGACGAUACACACUGAAAUGGCAUACAGAAAUCUGAAUGCUCACACUUGCUACUUGCUAGAGCUGAUACUAGGCUUAUUUUCAUUAUGACACUUGCUACUUGUAGUUGUCAUGGGUGCCCGUUGAAAUAAGUUGUUUUUGUUAACAUGAUAUUGGUCAAUUAAUUUUACAGACCUCUUAUUGGAAUUGGGGCUGCAACUAAAGUAGCAAACACGACUACGUGAGAAGGGUGAGAAUUAGUGGGAGCAGGGUAUGGAUGAGGAAGGAGCACCAGUAUCUUCAAUGUUGCUGCUGUUUCGUUUCCAUCCCUCUCACGUGUGAAGGUCAACCUCCUGGGAUACACGAAGUUUCAGUUCGUCGAGAGGCUUCCUGGAGCUUCAAAACAUUUCACUUCAACUUUUUAGGCUUUUUCAGUACAUCUUCGACGCUUGCCCUGCUCCCUGGAGUAGCGCCUUCGACGCUUGCCCUGCUCCAGCAGUCGUCAUUGUGAGGAUUAGCCACCGUCUAUUUGGUGCGGGACCUACCUGCGAUGGUCCCAUCUAUUGUGAGGUUGCAGCAAAAACAAGAUGCACAUGUUCAUUUUUUGUAUGCUUUUCAGUACAUCUACUUCCUGACAGUCUGAAUAUGUUGCCCCCACCAUGCCGAUUUACUGCUGCGACCUCGUUGAUUCCCCGCCUUCGAACUGCUCCCUCAAUCCCCUCCGUGGACCACUGCCGACGGUGGGCUGCACCUUCCACGGGAAGCCACGUGACCGUGUAGACGCACGUCUUCAUUGAGUCGCUCACUGCGCAUAUGUGUGUGUGUUGUGUUUGUGUGUGCGUGGCCGCGACCAUGCUUCGCAUUUCGGUGUUGUCUAUGUGUGGUCGUGUGGUCGUCUCACCUCAAACACAUCCUAGGCCGGUGCAUGAGUUGCUGAGGAAACGCCCAAGGUUGUGGCCUCUCGACCACAACUUCAUCUCAUGGAAGUUGUUGGAUGUGGACAGCCAGAACGAGUUCAAUUCCAGAUGGCUCAUCGAGGAGAAAAAGAAGAGGAACUUGAGUGGUUUCUCUGUGGAGAAGGGCAGAAGAAAUUGUGCUCUGAACAUGCUUGUUGAUACGCCCAUGAGAACGGGUGCAUUUUUCUAUAGAUUUUUGUGUUGCUGACAAAGCUACACAAGUUGUAUUUUUACAAGUUGAACUUAACAAUAUCCUCUAGAAAGUUCGUGCAUGUGUGGAUGUUCUUUUGACAUUGAACUGUUAAGUGCUUGCAAAAUCUAUAGUGUUGAUCCAUCAGCAUUCGCAGCUUUUCACCUUAGUUGUGUAUGUUAUGUGUUUCAAAUGC
rnacentral:rRNA from 1 species